rnacentral:rRNA from 1 species
ACCGGCGGCUCGAGUGGUGGCCACUAUUACUGGGCUUAAAGCGUUCGUAGCUGGCUUGUUAAGUCUCUGGGGAAAUCUUCCGGCUCAACCGGAAGGCGUCUCAGGGAUACUGGCAGGCUAGGGACCGGAAGAGGUGAGAGGUACUCCAGGGGUAGGAGUGAAAUCCUGGGAUCCGUGGGGGACCACCUGUGGCGAAGGCGUCACACCAGGCCGGCUCCGACAGUGAGGCGCGAAAGCUAGGGGAACAAACCG